AGAUGGUAAUGCUAAUACCAUUGAAUGGUGCUGCGCCCAGGACAGAUCCUUUGAAAUGAUAACACCAAGGAAUUUAAUGUUGUUGACCUUCUCCACCUCUGAUCCACGAUGAGGAUCUGGUUCAAUGACCUCCUGCUUCCUCCUCCUGAUUCGUCACUACAUUUGACUCAGCCUAUGAGAGUGGUGUCGUCAACAAACUUAAAUAUUCACACUCGCAAUAUCAGCUAUCAGAACACUUCCAUCAAAAUAUAGUGUUACGUACCCCGUAACUGGGUUGCCAAACCAGCAGAAAUGGAUCACUCAGUUGGAGUCUGGAGUACUAGAACUAAGAAAGUUUUAUUAAAGAAACAAGCAACACAGUAAUCGAAAGGAUAAUAAAUGCAACAGUUCAACA